rnacentral:lncRNA from 1 species
AUUGUACUAGAAUUUUAAUUUAAUUCAUUGAAAUAGUCUUUUCAUUUCAUAACAUUCUCCACAUUGUCAUUUAUUUUCCUAGGCAUAUUAAUCUUUCAGAAACCCCACUGAAUCAAAAGAUUUCCAUUAAAAAAAUUCUGCUGAAAGAUGACUGCUACCUUGGCCCACAGAGUCUUACCUCCACAGGUCAAAAGAAAAAUAUUGCACUUGCUUUCAGGGGAUUUGGAAGUGCUCCCAAGAGAGAAUUCUAAAACCAGAACUGUGGCUGCUUAACUGACAAAGAAAGGCAGGCCACAUCAGAACAUUCUAGAACCUUAC